UACGUAGGGGGGCUAGCGUUGUCCGGAAUCAUUGGGCGUAAAGCGCGCGUAGGCGGCCCGGUAAGUCCGCUGUAAAAGUCAAAGGCUCAACCUUUUGAAUGUCAGUGGAUACUGCCGGGCUAGAGUCCGGAAGAGGCGAGUGGAACUCCUGGUGUAGCGGUGAAAUGCGUAGAUAUCGGGAGGAACACCGGUGGCGAAGGCGGCCUUCUGGACGGAUACUGACGCUGAGACGCGAAAGCGUGGGGAGCAAACAGG
rnacentral:rRNA from 1 species